AUACCUUUCUCGACCUUUUAUCUUAGAUCAUGUGUAGUAUUUGUUCUUAUCAGUUUAAUAUAUGAUAUGAGAGUCAUCGACUCACACGAUAUUAACUCUAUUUUUCGAGGGGGAAGGUCCAUCAUAGUAGCUUGACUCACACGAUAUUAACUCUACUUUUUGGGGGGAAGGCCCACAAAGGUAGCUUGCUAU